UUUCAUUUGUUUCUGCCUUUUUUACUAUUGCAGAGCUGGCAUGUACUUUCAUUUUCUAUUCUAAAUGAUCCUGGUGUGAACAUUUAUACUUGCAUAAGGCUUGUGUGGACUUCUGGCAGUAUUUCUUGUACCAGUCAGCAUGUGCUGUAACUGUAUGACUGUGAGUUAUUCUUCAUGACAAGUUUGUAAGUCAAUACUGCAAACCAGGCAAGGACUUUCGAAGGCAGCUGUCUUCUCCCUGUGUGAUCCAGAGCUCUCGUCAUCCAUGUAACAUGUGAGUCCCCGAAACACAUUCAUGAUCCUUCGUGCCGUGGCUGUUUUCUCCUGCACACUGUGGACGGAAAGAAUCACCGCUGUGAAGAGAACUCGAUGUUCAGUGAAAGAAAAAGCAUGAAAAAGGUUAUUCAAAGCUAAACGGAGACCGUGGCCCAGGGAGCCAACAUGUGUUUGCUCUGAGCGGCUGAUCCCGGCCUUGCAGC